UCGGCCCUCAAUCAAGGCCAUCGGUUUGCCGUAGCCGAUGGUUUCAAACAGGAGCCCAAAGGAAACGUCUCCCGGUCUGUUGGCACCCCCAUCCCCAUGGAAUGGCCAAUUCGUGUGGGAGCGACAAGG
rfam:Eurypyga helias contig6594, whole genome shotgun sequence.